rnacentral:lncRNA from 1 species
GUCACAAAGGCGAUAAGAGCUUAAGGAGUCUGGGUUUUAAGUGGGACCAUUGUGACCCCUCCAGUCUUUCCUGGGAACUUUCCUGGUGUGCAUUCUCACACAUACUCACAACUAUUCAAGGUGGUACACUAGCUUGUGUGUGGUAUUUAUCAACAAAAUGGCGGCAAAGUAUGAAAUUGAGAAGUUUAACGGAAAUAAUUUUUCGUUGUGAAAAAUGAAGAUGAAAGCUGUAUUGAGGAAAAAUAAUUGCUUGGCAGCAAUUGGAGAAAAGCCCAUGGAGAUAACUGAUGACAAGUGGAACGAGGUAGACGGCAACGCCAUUUCUGAUCUACACUUGGCACUUACAGACGAAGUAUUAUCCAGUGUGGCAGAGAAAAACAUAGCGAAGGAAAUUUGGGAUAUUCUCACAAAAUUGUAUGAGGCCAAGUCACUACACAACAAAAUUUUCUUGAAGAGGAAACUUUAUACUCUUCGAAUGGCGGAAUCUACAAUGGUGACCGACCACAUCAACACCUUGAAGACUCUAUUUUCACAACUCACAACGUUGGGUCAUAAUAUAGAGGAAAAUGAACGUGCAGAGCUUCUACUUCAAAGUCUACCAGAUUCGUAUGAUCAACUCAUCAUUAACCUGACGAACAACAAUCCAGCGGACAGUUUAGUUUUCGACGAUGUUGCAGCCUCCGUAUUAAAUGAGGAGAGCAGGCGGAAAAAUAAGGAAAACAGACAAGCAAGUUCGCAGCAAGCGGAGGCGCUAUCGGUGACGAGAGGGAGAUCAACAGAACGUGGCCCCAGUGGGAGUCACAAUAAUGGUAGAUCAAAAUCCAGAAGUAAGAAGAUGUUAAAUACUACAACUGUGGCAAGAAAGGGCACGUCAAGAAAGAGUGUUGGAGUAACCAGAAGAGAAAAGAGGGCAAAGAACCUGAGUCAUCAAAUGCUCAGGGGUGUGUAGCAAGUACCUCGGAUGAUGGAGAAAUUCUCUACAGCGAAGCAACAACUGUUUCAGAAGGCAGAAAAUGACUUUAUGAUGUCUGGCUUAUAGACUCAGGAGCUACCUGGCACAUGACCUCUCGGAGAGAAUGGUUCCACACAUAUGAACCUAUCUCAGGAGGAUCUGUAUAUAUGGGUAAUGAUCAUGCCUUGGAGAUCGCUGGUAUUGGUACUAUCAAAAUAAAAAUAUUUGAUGGUACAAUUCGCACAAUUGGGGAGGUACGCCAUGUCAACGGCCUGAAGAAAAAUCUAUUUUCUUUGGGACAAAUGGAUAGUCAUGGGUACAAAACUCAUGUGGAGAAUAGAAUUAUGAAAAUCGUUAAAGGCGCGCUUGUAUUGAUGAAAGCAGAAAAGAUCGGUGCUAAUUUAUUCAUGCUUAAAGGAGAAACACUACAUGAGGCUGAUGCGUGUGUCGCGUCAAAUGGAGAAGAAUCAACAAUGAUGUGGCACCUCAAACUUGGUCACAUGUCGGAACAAGGUUUGAAAAUUCUCUCUGAGAGAAAAUUGCUUCCGGGGCUCAAAUCGGUAAGUUUACCAUUUUGCGAGCAUUGUGUUACAAGUAAGCAGCAUAGAUUAAAGUUCAGUAGAUCUAUUGCUAGAAGUAAAUGCAUUCUAGACUUGAUUUAUUCUGAUGUUUGGGAAUCACCGGAUAUAUCCAUGGGAGGUGCAAAGUACAUGGUGACUUUCAUUGAUGAUUAUUCCAGAAGAUGUUGGGUGUAUCCAAUUAAGAAAAAGUCAGAUGUAUUUUCAGUGUUCAAAUAAUACAAAGCGCGGGUGGAACUUGAAUCUGGUAAAAAGAUCAAGUGCUUGAGGACAGAUAAUGGUGGAGAGUAUACAGAUGGUGAGUUUCUUGCUUUCUGUAAGCAAGAAGGUAUUCAGAGGCAGUUCACGGUGGCAUACCCUCCUCAACAAAAUGGAGUGGCAGAGCGGAUGAACAGGACUCUUACAGAAAGAAUAAGAGCUAUGUUGAGGACUGCUGGUCUACCCAAUUCAUUCUGGGCAGAAGCAGCCAAAACUGCCUGUUAUAUAGUAAAUCGAUCGCCAUCUACAGCUAUUGGGCUGAAGACAGCGAUGGAGAUGUGGACUGGAAAGCCAGCUGAUUAUUCCUACCUACAUGCAUUUAGAUGUCCUGUGUACGUGAUGUAUAAUGCCCAAGAAAGAACAAAGCUGGAUCCAAAAUCUAGAAGAUGUAUCUUCUUGGGAUAUGCUGAUGGAGUAAAGGGGUAUCGUCUGUGGGACCCCACUGCCCACAAGAUCGUCAUCAGCAGAGAUGUUAUCUUUAUAAAAGAUCAACUACAAAGGAGAGAUGAAGAUGAUAGCAGUGUAAAAGAAAAGUCAGAGACUAUACCGGUAUAUGUGGAAAAUAAUCUAGAAGAUUCAGAUUCUUCUGAAGCAGCACCAGAGCACGAAGAAUAAGAACCAGUCGAGUCCGAGGCUCCAGAAGUUCAUCGGUCAACUCGUGAGAGACGACCGCCAACGUGGCACUCGGAGUAUGUCACAGAAAUCAAUGUUGCGUACUGUCUUCUAACAGAGGAUGGAGAGCCUUCAAUUUUCCAUGAAGCUUUAAACAACUCAGAUGUUGCUUUGUGGAUGACAGCAAUGUAGGAAGAAAUUGAAGCUCUACACAAGAACAAGACAUGGGAACUUGUACCACUACUACGUGGUAGAAAAGCCAUUGGAAACAAAUGGGUCUACAAGAUCAAACGUGAUGGUAAUGAUCAAGUGGGACGGUAUCGUGCAAGACUGGUGGUGAAAGGAUAUGCUCAGAAAGAAGGUAUUGACUUCAACGAUAUAUUUUCUCCGGUGGUUCGACUCACAACAGUCAUAAUAGUCUUGGCAAUGUGUGCUACAUUUGACCUACAUCUAGAGCAGUUAGAUGUUAAAACUGCAUUUCUUCAUGGAGAACUUGAAGAAGAAAUUUAUAUGCUCCAACCAAAAGGUUUUGCAGAAACAGGAAAGGAAAACUUGGUUUGCAAGUUGAACAAAUCUCUUUACGGUCUCAAACAGGCGCCGAGGUGUUGGUAUAAGAGAUUUGAUUCCUUCAUCAUGAGCCUUGGAUAUAACAGACUCAGUUCAGACCAUUGUGCAUAUUACAAGAGGUUUGAAGAAAAUGAUUUCAUCAUUUUGCUGUUGUAUGUGGAUGACAUGUUGGUAGCAGGUCCCAACAAAGAUCGAAUCCAAGAAUUGAAGGCACAGUUGGCUAGGGAGUUUGAAAUGAAGGACUUGGGACCAGCAAACAAGAUUUUAGGGAUACAAAUUCACCGAGACAGAAAUAACAUGAAGAUUUGGCUUUCACAGAAGAAUUACUUGAAGAAAAUCUUGCGGCGCUUCAACAUGCAAGAUUGUAAGUCAAUUUCUACCCCACUUCCUGUUAAUUUCAAAUUAUCCUCAAGUAUAUGUCCUAGCAAUGAAGCAGAGAGGAAGGAGAUGUCUCGAGUACCGUAUGCAUCAGCAGUGGGAAGUUUGAUGUUCGCUAUGAUAUGUACUAGACCGGACAUUGCACAAGCAGUGGGAGCAGUCAGUCGAUACAUGGCGAAUCCUGGUGGAGAGCAUUGGAUAACUGUGAAGAGGAUUCUGAGAUACAUCAGAGGAACCUCAGAUUUUGCAUUAUGUUAUGGAGGAUUAGAGUUUACUGUCAGGGGCUAUGUGGAUUCAGAUUUUGCAGGAGACCUUGAUAAAAGGAAAUCCACUACUGGUUAUGUGUUUACACUUGCGGGAGCAGUUGUAAGCUGGGUUUCGAAACUGCAGACCGUUGUGGCUUUAUCUACAACAGAAGCAGAAUACAUGGCAGCUACACAAGCUUGCAAGGAAGCUAUUUGGAUACAAAGAUUAUUGGAGGAACUCGGGCACAAACAAGAGAAAAUUUAUGUGUUUUGUGACAGUCAGAGUGCCUUGCACAUUGCAAGGAAUCCAGCCUUUCAUUCCAGGACAAAGCACAUAGGAGUUCAGUAUCACUUCGUUCGAGAAGUAGUGGAAGACGGAAGUGUGGAUUUGCAGAAAAUCCAUACCAAGGAGAACCUAGCAGAUGUGAUGACCAAGCCGAUCAAUGCUGACAAGUUUAUCUGGAGUAGAUCCUCUUGUGGCCUAGCAGAAACGUAGGCAACAUAAUUCUGGUGAAGCAGAAAGGAUGGUGUGGAGAUUGAUUGGUUCUCAAUCAAAUCUCCAAGUGGGAGAAUGUCAAGAUUGGGUGUCUUCAUAUUCAAAGUUUGAAUAUCAAAAUCAAACUUCUAGAUAUUCAAACUUUGAAUAUCAAAUUCAAAAUUCUAGAUAUUCAAAGUUUGAUAUUCAAACUUUGAAUUUUGAAAAUUUGAACAAUAAUAAAUAAUUAAAAAAAAAUACGUGAAUAGUAGCCAAGAUUUUGGCUAUAAAUAGAGGGACUCAUUCCCUCAUUUGCUAAUCCAAUUUUUUUGAAGAGUUUUCUUGUAUUUAGAGAAAGUUUAGAGAGCUUGAAAUUAUAAGCUCUUGUUUUAGUGUUUUGAGAGUUUGGGUGUAUUGGGAUUUUGAGAAGUGAGCUAAAAUAUUACAAUACUUGUAACUCAUUUUCACUAGUAAAAUAUUUCCUUCUGUCUUCGCCCGUGGACGUAGGCUAAAAGCCGAACCACGUAAUUGAUGUUGUCCUCUUUUUGUGCUUGUUCUUUAUUUUCUUCCAAUUUUACUUUAGCUGCGUGUCUGCUUCACCCACUAAUUUCCUAACAUACAAGGGGCCAGAUUGUUCAUUGUACGAUUCAUAAUUGUUGUACAGGCUUCUUUGUAAUUCAUGAUCAUCAACAAAGGAUAUGUAUAUGCAUACAUGUGAUGAAGAGAGAAGAUUAAAUAUAGUUUAGCUGUGUAUAUAAUGGGAAGUGCGGAUAAGUGAUUAAUGCACAUGGAAUGCCAGAGGAAACUUCAUGAUUAGAAGAGCAGGUUUCAUUUUGUCCCUCUUAGCUCUUGUUCAUCUGGAUGGACGAUAUUUUAGAGGACAUUAGCUAUAUGCUUUGAUUUCUUUUCAAUGAACACUUUAAAAUGAGAAACACAAUGGGGUAAAUUUAACAAUAUUUAGGCAAUCAACAGAGCUUUAUUUUUUAUUUUAUUGACUUGCUAUAAGAAACCACACAUUGCUCUCGAUAAAUGCAACUUGUAAGAAAACUUUGUAAAUGAUUAACAGCAACAAUAUGAAUAUUAUGAUCCAAUUUUAUCAUCGGGAAAAUGAGAUAUUUUUGGUGGUCUAAUCACAUUUUUAAACUCUCGUGCUUUACAAAGCCCUUUGAUCAAUGCAGAGUUACUGAUAAGUUCAUAAUUGUAAUAGAAAAAUUAAGUAAUUCUAGAAGGCAAGUGAGACACAGCUUGGCAUUUUCAAUCACCAUUGCCCUUUCUAAGAUUCUUGCCAUCACUGAUACUUAUUGUUAGGUUAAGAACAGAGGCGAAGCUAGAAAAAAAAAUUUUGGGUGGCCUAAAAUUUUUUUCCAAGUCCCAAUGUUAUCCCAACUGAAAAGAUAAAGCUUAAUGAAAAAUUCAUUAAUAUAUAAGAAAAUACAUCAAAUCCAAGAGACAAUUUAAUUACAAUUAAGUAUUAUUUCAUUUGCGCCUUGCGAUACUUUCGAGAAUUAAAUUCAUCUAUUAUCGAAUCUGAAUCGAUAGUGUCUACAAAAUCUCUUUCAAUGUAGAUAACCAUACAAUCUGAUAAAAACUCUUUCUUCAUCUUAUUUCGAAGUUGUGUGUUGAUAAGCUUCGUAGCUAAAAAUACUCGUUCAGUCGUUGCAGUCGAAACAUGAAGAGUCAACACUAAACGAAUCAAUCUAUUUAUCAAAAAAUAAAUUUGAGACUUUCUUGUUUCAACUAAUUUUAGACAUAAUUCAGAAAGUGAAGAAAUAUAUUGAAACUCAACAAGACGAAGCACAUCAAUCUGAAAACAUUCUAACUGUCUUCUCAAAGUAAGUAUCUCAGAUGGAGUAAAAUCUGGAGGAUAAAAUCUCUCUACAAGAUUACAAAUAUCAUCAACAUUAAAUGAUUUGAAAGAAUCAACAUGAUUCAAAGCAGAGCUCAGAGUAAGAACUUCCAUCGUCUUAUUUGUAAAUCUAUUAUUUAACUCCAUCAACUAAAAAUCUAUUACAACAUUAAACAAAUCAAUUUGAUAAUAAUGCUCCACUGUAACAUAAUCUUUCUGCUUACAAGGACGCAUCGUACCGUUCAUAUGGCGAUCAUUCAUUCCAAGCACAUCAAUAUGAUGACUUUCACAAACUGAUAUCACACUCUUAAUAAAAGUAUUCCAACUAUUAUCCCUUAAGCUUUGAAUAAGUGAUUUUGUAGUUGAUAUUAAAUGUAUAGCAUUUAAAAUGUCUUGAGAUUUCAUUUGUAAUGCUUGACAAAGUAAAUCACUUAUCCCUAAAACCUUAUUCAUCAAAUGCAAGAUGAAAAACAAAAUUUAAAGGUUGACGUUGCAUUAUGCACACCUUUAGCUUCCCCUCGUAUGUCAUUAUUCGAUCCAUUGCAAAUCAUCUUUUCAAGAUACUCAUGAGCAACACCAAACAUAUUGAUCAAUCUACUGACAGAUGUAAAAUGAGAGCUCCAACGAGUUACUCCAGGUCAUUAUAAUGAACAAAUUUGAUUAGCUCAUGUCCUAGUUUCAAGCUCCCCAGAGGCUAUCAAAUCAAUAAUUUCAGCCUCCCUAAUAGAUUUCAACUCUGAAUGACGCUUAGGAGAGCAACCAAAAACAUUGACAAUGGAAUUCAAAGUUGAAAAAAAUAUCCAUACAUCAGGCACAUCCUUGGAAACUUUCACUAAUGCAAGUUGCACCCGAUGAGCAAAACAAUGUACAUAAUAUGCAUAUGGACAGUCUUCUCAAAAUAAUGCUUGCAAUUCAUUCCAUUCACCUCGCAUAUUACUAACAUCAUCAUAUCUUUGUCCUCGUAAAUCUUCAACCAAAAGAUUACAACGAGUAAGGACAUUAUAUAUUUCUUUUUUAAGAGUUGAUGCACUGGUUUCUUUCACAUUCACAACUUCGAAAAACCAUUCACGAACAAUCCAUCACAAUCAACAUAUCUCAAAAUAAUAGUCAUUUGUUCUUUUUUAUAUUCAUCUUGUGCUUCAUCAACAAGAAUACAAAAUUUUACAUCUCCAAUUUCUUCACGAAUCUUUUGCCGCACUCUAUUGCCAAUGAUAUUCAAAAGCUCUUUUUGAAUAUCGGAUGAAGUAUAUUUUGCAUUGCCGGGACCAUUUUCCCAGACAACUUCAGCAAUAUCUUUAUUCAUCCUUGCUAAAUACUUUAUCAUUUCAGUAAAAUUUCCAAGAUUAGAGGAUUUAAUGGACUCAUCAUGGCCUCUAAAGGCACAUGCUUGCUUUGCAAGCCAUUUAACAGCUUCUAUUGAGGUUUGAAGCCGCAAUUUGUUCUGUAAAAUUUGUUAUGAUGAUUGUGCAUUCAUGAAUCUAUCUAUAUGUUGAGAUGGAUUCUUUAAACCACCCCACUUUAGCAUAGCCUUAGCAUGAUGUGAAUUAAGCCCCCUUUAAUGAUGCAAAGAAGAACAUCUCUCUCUAUUAUUAAUUUUCUUCCAACUCGUAAACCCUUUAAUUGUAAACUUAGGAUAUUUUGCUUUUUUUUCGUCAAAAAGAAAACAUGCGAAACAAUAUAAAUCAUCAAUUUCUUUAGAAUACUCAAGCCAAGGAAAUUGUGCAUACCAAGUAAAAUAGAAUUGACUACGGAUUUGAACCAUAGCAUAUGCUUUCAUAAAACAAUACGAUUCUCCCGAUCUAAAUCAAGCAUGUUUUCCAAGAACAAGUUCUAUUCGUAUUGAAAUCGACGAAAUUGUUGCCCAUCAAAUGAAGGUGGAAACUCUUCUAACUUUGGUUGAUAUGGACCCAUGCUGAUAUACAUUCUCCUAAUGUCAUCUUGUUGAUUAACAGGAUAUGUCCAUAUUGGUUUAUGUAACUUCGGAUCACGUUCUAAUGAGGCAAUAUUUUCACUCUGAGCUUCAACUCUUCGAGACUUAGACGUAGGUUGCUCAUCUAGUUUAGGAUCAUCAACAUCACAUGGAACCUCACUUGACGAUUGACCACCAUCUUUUUUCUUAAAAAAUGUAAGAAGACUUUUUCUUGGCUUUAAUGAUUGAUUGUUUGACAUUAAUUAACACUUGAAAAAUAAAGAAGUAAAAACAUAAAAGCAAUUAAAAAAAUCACCGAUAAGUUUAAUUAACAAAUUAAUAAAAGCAUAGAACUGUUAGUUCAUCACAAUAACACAUUGACACUAUCCAAAAGCCAAACAAUAAGUUUAAUUGACAAAUUAACAUUAUAUUUGGAUUGAAUUUAUGGUCUCCAUUUGACCUAACAAUAAUUUAAUCUUAUACAAUCAUUUUUUUCUAAUUAAGUAUAGUUGCAACCCCUAUACAAUUCUUUUAACUGAGAUAAUUUAGUUUUUACUACCUCACAGCUUAUAAAUAUAUUGUAAGUGAUUAAACACAAAAUAAAUUUUCUUACCAAGAAGAAGACAGAGAAUUGAAGAAGCCAAGAAAAAAAGAACGAAGAAGCCAAGAGAAGAGAGAGUGCACGUUCUGGAAUCUGGAACCUUGAAAAAGGGAAUCCUUUUUUUUAAAUUUAUUCAUAACAAUGGGCCCUUUUUAUUCAAUAAAUCGAAUCCCCUUUUUCUUAGUUUAUUUAUAAAAAUUGGCCGAAUGGCAAAGUUGAAAAUAAUGGAGUAGUUACAGUUGUAAAUAAAAGUACAAAUAAUGAUAGUUUUGUAAACUAGGCCAAUGGUAUUUUUGUAAAUUUCUAAAAUUUUGGACGGGCUGUAGCCUACCCCGGCUCACACAUAGCCUCGCCCCCGGUUAAGAAUAAGGAUUGACACGCCAGAUAAAAUAUUUCUAAUUGCCGCUACCAGUUGGUUUCAAUGGUGCUGGAAUAAUCAGUAAAAUAAGGAAGAAUGCAUGAAUCAUAGACCUUGUCAGUUAGGGAUUCCUUAUUUAAGAAGUUGUGAAGCCACCACCAUGUUUUAGAACCCAACUAAAUAAAAAAUGGAAUCAAAAGUAAUAUAAGUAUUGAAGUAAGAGCAUUCAAAGGCUUGGACAUUAUGCAUAACUCUAGAACACUUGAAAAUAUGACAGAACUUUGCAGGGAAAAAUAAUAAAUGUAGAAGUCAUGUACCUAUAACCCCAAUGAGUAUAACAUAUAGCACUAGGAUCUUGUGCUCCAGAUGCAUCUCCAAAUCCCUUCAAUAAGAAGUUUGUUCUAAAAGAUUGUCUUGCUUUAUAUGUGAAGCCAGCACUUUUUAUUUCCCCAAAAGUUGGUGCAAAUAUUAACAAACUAGAAGAGAGUUCUUUAAUUUCUAACAGCGUGCCUGCAACGGGAAAUAUUAGUAUGUCAUCUUAAAUGAGGCAGCUAUUGUUGUUUAAGUCUUAGUUGUAAGAAGAAGAUUCACUUGCAGCAUCAAAAUUUUAAAACACUUCCAGCAGGUUUAUAAAUUUUUCUGUCUUGAUGACCGCAAUUUAGAUCACAUGUCACAAGCAUCAAGUCCUAUCAAGGCAAUUCAAAUAUCUAACUAUUUCAUGGAGAAAAAACAUUCUUUAUUCCCCCAACUCCCCUCCCCCAAAAAAAAUUAUAAACUAAAGAGUAAAGACCAUUGCAUGUUUGUUGUUACCAUAUGCACAAUCUUGUCACUAUAGGUAAUACUAAGAACAAAUAAUGAAGACUUUUGGUCCAAAGCAGCAUAUAUACAGCUUUUAAUGAACAAAAAAUAUGCCACACCUAAUGAACAGCAAAGGCUAUGCAACAACUUGCAAUCUAAAUAUUACCCAGCAAAUGGUAUGAAUAUGAAAUAAAACCGUGUCAACACUUACCUAAAGAACUGAUUAGAUGCCGUGGUUUGCCAAUGUUCAAAUCAUUUGGCAGUUUAAAUCAAUUAGCUGGUUGUUAAGUAUGAAAAACACCUCAUUUUAAGACGGAAACUUCUCAUCCAUUGAUAAAAAACUUCUCAUUCAUUGAUAAGAACACUUCAUUUCAUUCAUCAUUUGCAGAAUUCAUACUUUAAUGCAAUUACAGAUUCAAUUAAAAUCUAAGAAAGAAAGCUCACAGCUGAGACCUGAAGUAAUUGCCAAAAUAGCUCAAAUUUACAUGACAAAGAAAGAAUUGUGUCAAUCUACAAAGUUCUCAACUUGCAGUGGCAGAGCCAACUCCAUUAGUUUCUUCUAUACUAACACAUUUUUUGCAUAUACAGCAAGGUAAAAGCAAGCCUUGUAGUAUAAUAAAAAUAUGAAACCAAUAGCUUCUGAUUGUCAAAAAACAAAGACAUGCUUGCUUGCGUCCACUCGAAAAACGCAUCGCAUACGCCUAACUAAAGUACCAAGAAACCUCUGAAACAUGAGUUCAAAUGAAACCAUACGAAGAUGAUUCAAAAACUGAGAUACCAGGGCCUCCAUCCACAAGAUAUUGGCAUCAUUGCCCAAGACAUGAAGACUGCCCCCAAAAGGAUGGCUAAGACGAGGAAUAGAACUGACCAUGCUCGGACACUAAAACGAUUAAAGAAAAUCUGCAAAAUCUAGAGUAGAGAAGACCGCACUUUGAUUUAGAGGAAGAAGAAACAAAACAGUAUUAUGGUUCAACUUGUAAAGAUAGUUUUCCUCUAAUAAUUUUCAUAACUUUCUAAAUCAAAUAUCGUACAAUUCAAGAGAGCUUUAAAUAUUUUCGAAUUUGAUCAAUAUGGGACGCAACGUAUCACAUGACAGAGAAUACAAAAUGACCCAAAAAAAAAUUUUGCUCUCCGAAACUUCAAGUCCCUCAACAUUCAAUUAUCUCUCCCAACAAACAAUCAAUCAAUUCCGCACUUUAUUAGCAAAGUUUCUAAACUUCCAUGUUUAAAGAUAAAAGAAAAAUAAAGUAAACUUGCAUGCGUAGCUGGAAAUAAAACAAAUCAAGACAGAAAAAAAAAACGGAUACCUUUAGCACUUGAUCCUAACCUUGCACUUCCACAACCCCAACCAACGUAGGCAGUAAGAAAAUCACGCUAGCAAUGAUAUCAUCCUGUCCAAUAAUCUUGAAACCAUCAUUAAUUAAGCCUCCUUCAGUCAAGCAUUCAUACGUCGCCUAGCCAUAGUGUAGAGCAAGAAAUUGGAUCAGCCUUCGAGCAUUAAUGCCGCCUCCCCUAGUACCACAUUGUAGGCCACAAAUCAUAGUAGUUAUGUAUAUGGCAGAGAAUGAUUUUCAGAAGAACCGGUUUCUAGGUGGAGUCAAUUCCUCAAGAAGAUCAAGCAAGACCCACUUUAUUCGAUAUCUGAUGGGGGGAUCGUUUUAUAUCUCUCCCAGCAAAGCAUGUAGUAUGACCAUUAACACAAUACUUAUACCAACAAGAGGGAACCAUAUAGAGAAUAUAUUUUCAUUUUCUUGCCAAUAGUGAAUUGAUAGCAUGACCAAAGAGAUCAAAGAUAAUGCAAAAGUAAUUCCACAUGAUAGAGAUUGAAGAAAGAGCUGAUGAUUGAUGAACAAUGGUGAAAGAAAGAAAGAAAAAUGAUAAUGAAUCUUGGAGAAUGUAAUGAAAGAAAGAGGCUGAAUCUUCAAGAGAAUGUUGUUGAUUAAUGCUAAAUCAAUUUUGUGAGUGACUCAGGCUUUGUUUAUUUAACUAACUGUAGAUUGGAGCCAAUUCUUAUAACUGAUUAUAAAACUAACUAUUAUUUACUACAAACUCAGGUUUAGCUCACUAACUAGAUAGUGAAUAUUUUAACUAAUUGUAACCAUUUCUUAUUUAAUGAAACCGUUAAAAAUAAAUAUGCGACAUGUCGUUGUAGUCUUAAUAGUUGGUUAAGUCUUACUUCCCUACACUCUAUUAGAUUUCAUAUUUUUGUGUUCUCUCCUAAAGGUAAUAUGCCAUGUUGUAUGAGCCACGCUUUAGCUAACCACUUCCUGCAUUUUGUAAUAUAUAGUUGUUACCUUGUUGUAGAGAAUUUUGCCAUCAUCAGAAGUACUUGUCAUACAACCCUAAGCAUUUAAUGACUCAACUUUAUAGUUUAUACUCUGCUUGUUUUUCUAACACUCUUUCUUGAUAUGCCCUUUCUUAUCACAAUUGUAGCAUUUGACAUUCUUCUUACUUCUUGAUUUUGAUCUAUUAUGAUUAUGCUCCCACUGGGGCCAUGUUUCGUUGAUCUCCCUCUCGUCAUCAAUAAUGCCUCAUCUUGUUGUGAGCAUACAUGUCUGCCUUCCUUAUUUUUCCACAUGUUGUCUUUAUUUAAUACCGAGGCUGGGAUAUCUUCAAAAACUAGACUGUCUGUCUGAUUGUUGUUCCCCAGAUUGAUGAUGGAUUGAUCAUAGAAUCUGGUAGACUUUAAAGUAGAAGCUCCGCACAUUCAUUUUCCUCUAUUUGAUAACCCAAUGUAAUAAGGUGUGAAAAUAAAGUUUUCACGGUGUUGAUAUGAGGUAGAUUAUACCAUUCAAAGAGUACAGAGUCUCCUUUUCAAGAAGAUCUUAUUGUGUAGUGACUUAGCCUUGUACAGUUUUGUGAGAGUGUCUCAUAUUUUCUCGAUAAUAUUUUUCCCCUCCACACUAGAUAACACUUCAUAAGCUAGUGAUGAAUGGAGAUCAACAAUUGCAUUAUCGUCUAUCUCGUUGCGCUUGGUGUCAUCGGUUAUCUCUAUGGGCAUUUCUCCAAUUGUUACCAAGUGGUGUGCAAUUUUUAAUGUUGUAGGUGUCAAUGUGUAAGUGUAAACAAUAAGUAAUAUACAGAUGAGUAUUCAGAUCGUCUCCACAUAGAUUAAUAUUAUCAUACUUGCUACAACAAUUUUAACAGUAAAGUUUUGUUCUAAAUUAGAGUAAGACUCGAGAUGGCAAUUGUACCCGCAAACUCGCAAACCGCCGUAACCCGCCUGCUAAAACCCGCCCACUGCGGGUAAUUUUACCUGUUGUGGGUGGGUUUAGUAUUAUAAAUUAAAACCCACGCAUGAAUGCGGAUGGGUUUGGUAUUGACCUUAUAUUCGGCGAAUACCAGCAUGGAUAUCCGCCAGACCCGCAAUAUUUUUUUCUAAAUAUUUUUUAUUUAAUUUUCAUUUAAAAAAUGUAUAAAGAAAAUUAUGUAAUUAUUCAAAAUGUAUAAAGGAAAUUGCAAUUAAAAUCAAAUUUGUAAAUAGCGAAAGGCCUAAAGCCAAAGUUGUGUAUGUGUGUACAGUGUACGUGGCCCAUCUCCCAUUCUAAAAUGAUAACCUAAAGCAAAUAAAGGCAUUUCCCCUUUUGAGUUUUUGACUUAGCCGCACAUGAGCUGACCAUUUCUCAUCUCUAUCUUCAAUUCUUCAUUCAACAUUCUUUUCUUCUUGAACCCGAGCUUGUGAUUUGUGACAGUGAGCCAGCUCUCUUCACUGCCAACAAGGAUGCGUCGUGCUGUUGCAGCUGCCUGGGUACCGUUGCUAUUGCAGCCAAUUUUGCAAUCGUGGACGGUACGAAAUUCUUAUGUCUUUCCUAACAAGUUGUAACUAAUUUUGUUGCUUAAUAAACAUGCCAGCUAAGUGAAAAAUAGCUUACAAACGUUUAUUGAAUUAAAUUUUAAUUUUAAUUUUCGUCUCUUUGUAAAUUUUAAUUUUAAGUAAAUAUUCAGACUUAAAAACGUUUAUUGAAUUAAAUAAGAUGAUGCAUGAUAUAGUAUUUUAUUUAACUCCAAUCAAUUUAGUUAAAAAAUUUGAAACUUAGAACGUCAACAAUCUAUUAAUUUUGUUGUUUUUGAGUUGAUUAUGUAAAUAGUUAGGCUAGCGUAAAUUGCUGAAUUCGCUUGCUAAUUUUUCAUUUUAUCUUUACUUAAUAAACAUGCCAGCUAAUCCAAUACCUGAUACGAUUUAAAAUCACUUAAAAUAGCAUGUUAAUUGAUAUAAUUUAAUUUAGCUUGUUUGGAAUCAGCAUGCAUAAUUUUGUACUUUCGGCUAGCUUAACUUGUUAACCCGAAAAUCGGUAUUCUUGUGUAUUGAUUUAAAAUCUGUUGAAAUUUUUAAGGUAAAAGAUGGAGUAAGCCUUUGAUCUCAGCGACAAUAAUUCGCCUACAACAAGAACAGAAGUUCAGAUAGCUUCAAACCAAUCUCCAAUAACAUGUGAGGAACUUGUAGACAUUGAGGUAGCUUCAACCCAAACUCCAAUUUCAGUACAUGAAAAAGAAAUUGCUUCUGGUGAUACUGAAAAUAGUAAAUUGACUAGUGAUGUUUGGGAAUACUUUAAAAGACAGAAAGUUAGUGGGAAAUUAGAAUAUGUAGCUGUUUGCAACUACUGUCAUAAGAGAUUAAGUGCGAAGCGUAAAAAUGGCACUGGCCAUUUACACACUCAUAUGGGGUUGUGUUUUAUGCGGUCGAACCACACAGUUGAGUCAACUCAAAAUCAUCUACAAGCUAAGAAAGAGAGUGGAAAAUGUAAAGUAUCCACGUUUUCUUUUAAUCAAGAAACUUCAAGGAAAGAGCUUGCAAAUAUGAUAAUUAUUCAUGAGUAUCCGCUGAAUAUGGUUGAACAUUGGGCUUUUCAAAGAUUUGUUGGUUCUCUCCAGCCAAUGUUUAGGUUUGUCUCUCGUAAUGAGUAAAAAGUGACAUUGAAAAUUUGUGACUACGAGAGGGCCAAAACAAUGAGCUUGUUGGACUCAAAUCGGAGUAGAAUUGCGAUUACUACUGAUAUAUGGACUUCUAGUAACCAGCAAAAGGGAUUUAUAGCUAUAACAUCACAUUUUAUUGAUGAUAAUUGGGAGCUGCAAAUUCGUAUCAUUAGGUAGUUUCUACACUAAAUUACUAAGUCUAUUUUAGUUUUAAAUUUUAUACUUAUUACAUGAUACUAAUAAUUUUUUUUUAAUUUAGGAUCUUAUACGUGCCAUGUCCACAUACUGCUGAGGUACUCUCUGAAGCUUUGGUGUCAUGUUUGCUUGAGUGGUAAGUUGUCUACUUUGACUGUUGAUAACUGCACCACAAGUGAUGCCAUGAUUGAUAUCUUGCUGGAAAAGAUUUCUAGUAGUUUGCUUUCUUUGAAUGUGGAUUUAUUUCACAUGCGUUGUGCUGCUCAUAUAUUGAAUUUAAUUGUGAAGGAGGGGAUGAGUGUGAUUAGUGAUAGUAUUGAGAGAAUUCGUAAUAGUGUUCUAUUUUGGUCUGCCACACCUAAAAGACGAGAAACAUUUUAUGGGACUGCUCGUAAAUGUAAUAUUUCUUGUAAUAGAAAUCUAGUUCAGGACUGUAAGACUAGAUGGAACUCUACAUACUUAAUGCUUAAUAGAGCUUUGGUUUUCAAAGAAGUAUUUCCUCGUUUAAAACAAUGAGAAUCAUUAUACAAAUUUUUACCCACUGAAGAAGAUUGGGUUUUUGCUAAAGAAAUUCGAGAUAGACUUGAAUCAUUUUAUGAAGUGACUACAUUAUUUUCUGGGACUAGAUAUCCAACAGCUAAUAUUUACUUUUCAAGCAUUUGUGAGAUUAAAUUGUCAAUUUAUGAGUGGAUGUAUUCUAACUGUGAAAAAAUCUAAGCAAUGGCUGACUCAAUGAUUGGAAAGUUUGAAAAAUAUUGGAGUGUUGUUCAUGGAUUCAUGGCUAUGGCAGUUGUUUUGGACCCUAGAUUUAAGAUGAAAUUAAUCGAGUAUUAUUUUGACUUGCUGUAUGGAGAUGGUGCUAAAAAAGAGAUUGAGAAUGUUCGAAGCUUUUGUUAUGAUAUGUUGAAAGAUUAUCAAGCUAGGUGUAAGUCAAAAGAAAAUUCACAAGUUCCAGUUCAAGCUUCAAUUGCUUCAUCAUCUCGAGCUGUGGUAGCUCAUUCAAAACUUGGGAAACAUUUGGCUAAUUUUGAUGCUUUUGUAGAUCAAAGUGGUAGUACAACCCAUGUUAAAUUAGAAUUGGACUAUUAUUUGGAAGAAUCUAUUAUUCCAAGAUCUGAAAAUUUUGAUAUACUUUGUUGGUGGAAAACAAAUGGAUCAAAAUAUUCAACUUUGCAAGCAAUUGCAAGAGAUGUUUUAGCCAUUAUGGUAUCCACCGUUGCAUCCGAGUCGGCAUUUAGUACUGGUGGUAGAUUUGUCUCUCCACAUUGUAGUAGACUUCAUCCAAAGACAUUGGAAGCUUUAAUGUGUGCUCAAAAUUGGUUGUUUGCUGAAUUUGAUGGUAUGAAAUUGUAUUUUUACUUCAAUAGAAUAUAAUAUCUAGUAUACAUUACAAUUUACAAAUUUAUAAUCAUCUAUAUUUUUUUCUUGAUAUACUCGUUACCUGUAGAUGCAGAUUCUUCUAAUAAAGCAAGAAAUAGCAAAUUGUCCGAAGAUGAAGAUAUUGUUGAUGAGGUAAAGAAUUACGUCUCUUUAACUUAAUUCAUAGAUUAUUAUAUACCUAUUAUAAUUUUGUAUGUACUAUUUUUCUUUAACUUAAUACAUGAAUUAUUUCAUUAUUAUAAUUUUUUCUCCGAAUUAGUAUUUGAAAAUAUUAAUAUUAAUUAUUAUUGUAGGCAUCGUGUUGGAUGGGUGCUUGUGGUGGUGAAUGAAAUGAAGUAUCUUCUCUUGGAGCUUGUUUUAAAUGAUGAUAUGAAAUGUAAGUGUUAUUUUUUUAUACUAAUUUAUGUUUUGUAAAUGGAUUUGUGUAAUUUAUACUUAAAUUUGAGAAUUUGUGUUGGAUUGAUGUUGAACUUUUAAUUUUUCAUUUACAUUGUUAAAUGUAAAAUUGAGUAUAUUAUGUAGAAUUUGAGGUUAUUAUUAUAAAUUUAUAUAUUAAAUAUUUGUGAUUUUAAAUGUAGAAACCCGCAAAAAAUCCGCCGGAUACUAUUACGGAUUUGGUAAUUGUUAAAACUCGUUGUGGGUGGAUUUUCUUAAAAAAAUUAAAACCCGCCACGGGUUGCGAGUGGGUUUGGUAAUUUAAAGUUUAUGCGGGUUUGGGUUUGGUAAUGGCAAACCCGCUGUGGGUGGUGCCCAUUGCCAUCCCUAAGUAAGACAAUUAAUGAAACUAAUAAACUAAUUAAAAUAAAAAUGCAAUAAAUAAAAAUGUAAUAAAGAAAAUUAUCACGUCAACACAGGGAUUUAACAAAUGGGAAUAUAAGUAGUUGAGUGAAUAAUCUCACUUAAUGGCAUUGACUAUUUUUCAAUUACAGUACCGUUGCUACAACAUCUACUACAGCACUGGGCCGAGUCCCUCAUGCAUCUUUAAUUGUUACUUGUUGGAUAUCUUAUAUCUAAUACAACUUAACAGUGACCAAUUGUUAUGCCAACAUAAAAUAUAUCACCAAACGAUCUAGGUUCCAUUUACUCUACAAGGUGAAUCCUUAUGUCUAGUUCAUCACUAAUUUUAAAUUAAGCAUGGCCCUAUCAAAUUGAGAUUUACUCAACUUAGGAAACCUAAUUUAAAAUCAAGUAUUUUCUUAAUGAGAUCCACUAAGUCAGACAUUUCUCAGGCACUUUCUUAGCUAGUAUCCCUAAAUGGGUGGUCAGCCGAAAUAGAGAAUUAAAAUAAAUCAAUUAAGACAAAGUGUUAUAGCAAACACAGAGCAACAUGAAUAUGUCAGUCAAACAUCUAUUAAG